GUGCGCGAGUGAAAGGGAAGCGACACUUGUGGAAUGAAGGGAGGGAGAGAAAGAGGAAGGAGGAGUGUGUGUGAAGAGAGGAGGGGUGACGGGAGGAAAGAGGGAGGGAGGAGGGCACGCAGGCUGAGGAGGCGAGAGUGGUAGGAGGGAAAGGAUUGAGCUUGAGCAGGGUAGGAGGGGGGAGAAUAGAGAAAGGUGGCAAGCGGGGGAGCGAUUCGGGGGCAGUGUAGAGCCCUGGGAGAAGAGAGAAAGACUGGAAGGAAAGAACAGAGCGCUUCUUAAUCUGCCUGCUCAGGGAGAAGCCACUUUUAUCUCCUUGCAUUGGAAAGCCUGGCACGUCUCCAGUUCAGGACCUAUCUGACAUGGGGGCUCGCUUUCUCCAAGAGAGAUGGACCGUAUGAGAAGGGCAGUGGAGGCAUAGCAUAGAGUUGAACCUGCAGAGCUGGUCCUAGUCUCUCAACGAGCUGCAGAAUUGGGAGCGUCAGUAACAUUUUCACCCGCCUGAGAAGCAAAAGGAGAUGCUGGGGCAGAGCAACGAACUCCAGGAUGCUGCGGGCUCAAAAAUAUCCAGGAAAGGAGUCAGCCUUUUCAUUCACCACAUGUCAGUCCAAAAGAAGAGAUUUAAGAACAGCCUCACCAGGAGGUGAACUCUCAGGUUCAGUCAACAGAUUCUUCUCCAGUCUCACUCCAAAGAAUGGAGAACUGCCUCUCACAGGAAGUUCAACUCCAAGUAAAAACUCUACUCAGAAAGUUGUAACUCCCUUUUAAAGACACUUUCUUUUGCAUCACUUCCUGUGCCUUCCUCUAAUUUUAUAUCUACCAAUCACAGUUGAAGCUUUGCUUUAGGACUGCCCAGGGGCAGUCAAUUUAUUUCUGAUUCAUCACCCACUAUUGCACAUAUGGGUCACAGGCCUCCCCCAUUCAAGUGUGAAUGUGGUGUUUACACCUUUGGUGAUUAAAUCUAAAAAUGGGCAGAUCUCCCCACUCAACUUUUAAGUAGGGUAUUUAUAUUUUUGGUGAUUAAAUCUAAAAAUGGGCAGGGGAAUUAAUUUCAUUUUCACAAUCAGGGGAGAGUUAAACUUAAUCUUCACAGUUGGAUCUCUCUGUCUCUGUGUCCCCUUCUUUCUCGUUCUCUGUCUCUAUGUCUCUCCAUCUCUGUCUCUAUGUCUCUCCAUCUCUGUACCUCUUUCUUUCUCUCUCUCUCUCUCUCUCUCUCUCUCUCUCUCUCUCUCUCUCUCUCUCUCUCUCUCUCUCUCUCUCUCUCUCUCCCCCCCUCUCUCUCCCCUUCUCCCUCUCCCACUCUCCCUCUCUCCCUCCCUCUCUCCCUUUUUCCCUUUCCCUCUCUUGCUUUAUUCCUUUCUGCCCCUCCCUAGUCAAGAGGAACAAAAUGUCUUGAUGCAUCAGGGAUUAAUACAGGAAUGGGAAUUAAAUUGUAUAGCAUUAAAUAUUUGAUAAAUGCUUAUGAAACAGGAUUGAAUUUCAUGUUAGAAAGAACCACCAAGAUCUCCUAGUCCAAAUCCUUCCUUUUGUAGACAGGGAAAAUGAGGCCCAUAGAAGUAAUGUAACCUAUGCAAGCUUCUGCAGCAAAAUAGUGUCAUGGCUGAAACUAGAGUGAGGUUCCCUGGCUUCUAGUUCUGGACUGUUUCUUCUACCACCAUGCUACCUUACAAAAUGGGGACUGGAGAAAUGUUGAAAUUAUGACCUGUUAUAAUAUAGUUUAUAACAUGGAAGAAAGUUACUAAGGCCAUUUUUCUCAUACUAAAUUUGGGGUCCUCCAAAAGUAAAAUUCCUUUUUCAUAUCCUUAGUUUCCCUAAUGUCAAGCUUGGGUAAAUUCCAAGCCCCUCCACAACCUGUAACAUCAAAUUGAAUGUCUCAGAACUACACUGUAGCCAUAUUUAAGAAAGCAGACAGCACUAAUAAAGUGUCCAAAGAAAGUCAGUGGAGUGGAGUAGAAUGCAAAAGAUAAGAAAGCAUAGAAAAGAACAGUAUUGUUGAGAAUCUGUCUUGUUCCUACUGUGCCGCCACUACCAAAAACAAUAAGAAUAACACUUUUUAAAGUUUUUAUGCCAUUUAAUAUUACUGUGUGACUUAGGCACAAUCAUUUCAUAUCUCUUUAAACUGAGGAAACUGGACUAAAUAAUACAUAAAUUUCCUACCAUUGCUCUUAAAUUCUAUGACUUUUCUAAAAGCAAAGGAAAAAAUUAAAGGUUUCUUUUUAGUUCUUGGGACAGAAAAAAGGCAAAAACUCAAAUAGAAAUGUCAGUCAAUUUAAUUUCUAUAUCUUUACAAAUCAACUCAAAAUCCUGCUUCUGACACUCAUUGUACUAUUUGUGCUGCAUUGGACAAGUUAGCAUCCCUUGGAUUCAAUUUCCUCAUUUGUCAAAUCAGGGGUUUAGACUAGAUGGGACUGAGGUCCCUUCCAGACCAGACUAGAUGUGAUUGAGGUCCCUUCCAGCUCUAGAUCUAGUAUCUUCUGAUCUAUCUUCUGAAAACUUUCUUUGAGUAAUCCACAUCCAAAUAUAAAUGGAUAAUGUAGGGACUAUGACUUGAAUCUCUACAUUCAAUAUAGGGAAAGAAACUUGUGGUGUUUGAUAAAUUACUAAAUUUAUAAAUAGACUUUUAUGUCUAUUCUGCUCUUAGCCUCAGUUUUCAAAAUUGCAGAAAUAGUAUGAUUGAAUUAGAUGAGUUCUAAAGACCCUUCCAGCUCUGAUCAGUACUCUAGUUUGGGACUUGCCAAAUGAAGAGCAUUGAGGACAAUAUAUAGAAUAACCAGAGAACAACUCAAAGAUGAAAGGACCUGCAAAGGAAAGCUUGGUUUAUAUGGUCCAGAAAAGCAUUUUAGGCUAGUCAAGGGUAACAAAUAUAAUUUCCCAAUGAAAGAUAAAAUGUUUGGUUAGUGUAAGUUAGCAGCUAUUCAAUAUCUUCUAGAAACAAUUCAAAGGGGAAAAUGCUCGACUAUAGUAAGAGGACAUUAGGUUACAUGUUUGUAAAAUAAUUUGUAACCUUUAAAGUUCUAUUUAAGUAAUUGGAAGUAGGAGUAUAUCACUUAGGAGACAUUGUAAUAUGCUAUAAGUCUAUGAUUUUAUGAUCUUCAAAAGCAGGAUACAAUCGAAAUUAAAUAUAAUAACCAAAAUGCAGUGAUGAAAAAAAUCUCAAGAAAAUCCAUAUAAAUAUUUUACUAAAUGGGAAAGUUGAAUUUUCCACACUUUUCUACAAUAUUAGCCACAAUCAAAACCCCAAAAUAAAGCCAUAAAUACGCUGGUGUGAAAGAUAGUGCUUUGAUCCACAUCCAUCCAACUCCAACAAUUCUCUCUCUGGAGGUGGAUAGCAUUCCCCAUUAUGAGUCUUGCAGGUUUUUCCCAGAGAAUUGCAUUGUUGGGAGUAGCCAAGUUUUCACAGUUGAUCAUCAUACAAUAUCAGCAGACCAUAACUACUGCUAUUCAGAAUAUCAUAAAACGGAAGGUAGGAAGACUUAACACUUGCCAUAUAGAUUUUUAUAAUACAGGAAAAAUGUGCCAACAUAGACACACAUAUACAAUACAUAGAUGAUUGAACAACAUUGGCAAAGUGUAGGAAUUAAUUAAAUAAGUUAAUGUCCUACAUAAUGCAAGAAUGUAGUUGUAAACUCAUCUUUUUCAUCAGCUAUUCUGCUCUACCACCACCCCAUGCCCCAAGUCCAGGUAAUCUUUAGACCAAGAUCAGCAGUAGAAAGUAAGACCUUUAAGUUUUCAUAAAGCAAUUUUGACUUGAAACAAGAGAAAUGUGAUGAAAAUAUUCUGUAAUCAAAUCACAUAAUUUUACUCAUUCAGAUUCUAUAACAUAUGUUUGUUUAUUUAAAGAUUGAUGACUUCUAUGUUAAUACAAUAUUAGCUUUAUUUGAAGAAAUUAAUUAAGUUCUUCUACUUACACUUGUCCAUGUAAUUACUAACGUCAUGGAAAGUCAAUGAAAACUUAUAGGAAUUUCCUUGAAUUUUCAGCCCUGGUUUAUAAAUGACAUUGAGGCUAUAUAGUAUAAUCUAAGAUCUUUGUAUUCAAGGAAAAUAGUCUAUACUAUCUUAUGAUGUAAGUAGAGCAGCUGUUUUAAAAGUGUUAAGGAUCCUGCAGCUAGUCUUCUUAAAUGAAAGCCACAUAUAAUUGUAAGGGUUGUGCUGUUGAUUGGAUUCUGACACUAAUACUAUUACUGACUUAAAUUAAACACUAAAAAAAUAGAUAAAGACUCCACUACAAUUGUUGUCCUUGUUUUGCUUUAGUUUUGAAAUAAUAAGCAGGAAUGGGUGGAAGAGAUUCCCAAGACAUUUUUUUUCCUAAACUGGUUCAUGGAGCAAAAAGUUUAAGGGUAACUAAUGCAAGCGGAGUUCAAAUUCUGCCACUCUUGCAUUCAAAAUGGAUUUCAACAGAAAGAGAGUAUGGGAAAAAAGCAUACUGUGGAAUAAAAUUAGAUUAAUGAGAAUUGAGCAUCACACAAAAAUUUUGGUCAGGCAGUUCAAGUUUUGGUUAAUUCUAGCCAAAGAAUUGUUUGUGGAAGUUGGCUUCACAAAUAUUUAAUUGUCUGCCCUCAAGGGAGACAACAAGUAAGAGGAUCAUCUUCCAAACUGAUAGCUGAUAGCUGAUAGCAAAAGGAGCUAAACACUGAACCAGGUGAAAAGGAAAGAAGCCAAUAGUCACACAUAAUGUCUAUAUAAUAUAAUAUACAUUAUUAGCUUAUGUUAAUGUAUAAAUCUUCUUGAUAUUUGCUAAUACAGAAGAUUUUGUAUCUUGAACAAAAAAAAUCUAUUCAAUCUAUUUAAUUUUUCUGUUUUGUUAGUAUAAUGGAGAAUAAAAGGUUUUUAAAGCAAAUCCAGUGUUUCAUGUUAGCAUGUGCUGACUGACAUUGUUUUCCUGUAGUUUAACAUUGAGGUUUGCUCAAAACUACAAUGGUGCCACAGCUCAAAAAUAAUACAGCAUGGGGAAAAGAACUUAACUCUAAUUUGAAAUGUACAUCAAGUCAUUGGGAGAAAGAGAGGAAGAAGUUGCUGAGUGCAGGUCCUAGAGGUGUCUUUUGUGGUUUGUUUUCUUGCAUCAGCAUGUUAUAUGUAAACAUCAGAGCAUCAUCUUAUUUUAAUAACACAUUUAACUGCUAACACAUACACAGGAGAUCAUGAUGUUUGCCAAUAAAAAAUGAGUUUUAAUCCCAGAUGCAGGUACUAUAAGCCAGCAAGUUUUAUCGAUUAUACUGCUAGCUAUAAACAGUCCUUAAUUUGCUACAUCAGAUCGAAAACAUUAAAAAUGAAGGCACUGAAACUGACAUGACAAUUUUUAUAUCAAAGCCACUUUUCUAGGAUGGGGCAAUAGCUCUAAAGAGAGCAGCUCAGCAUGUUAUUGGGCAGUGUGGGGAAAGAUAGGGCUGCUGUGUGUCAGUUCCACCCAUGUACUUAACCAUUUUAACACACAUACACACACGGCCUUCUUAGUGGCAGUUUUAUGAAUUUCAUCUUGUACAGUCUUUAAAGUAGAACCAAGUGAAAUUACUCAGAAGCUUAUCUUAUGCCCCUUCCCUCAAAUCCACUUUCUGCCUUUCCUCCCUGACCUUCCACAGCUGCCUUCAUGGCCCCUAGACCUGUCACAGUGCUCUCCUCGAUUCCUGGCCUGACUUCUUUUCAUUUAUGGAUCCUGCCCUUUUUUAAUACUCUAUUCCAUGCUGUGCCUUGCUUCUUCUAACUCUUAAACAAAAUACUAUUAAACUUCAAUUACUAGAAACAUUCCAUGAAAAGCAUGAUAAUUGAAGUUUCUGAAAACUGACUUUUGGCAGGGGGGGUGAUCUUUGGUGCUAAAAAAAAAAAACUCUACAACUUGCAAAGUUGAAUUAGCCUUGUUUAUAUGUAUAUAAAGAGACAAGAAGCACAGAGAACUGGCCUGGAAGCCAGGAAGACCUGGGUUUAAGUCCCACUUAUGAUACAUACUGGUUAUAUGUCCCUGGACAUGUCAGUUAAUCUCUCACUGCCCUGGGUAACUCUCUAAGACUCUAAAUUGCAGAGAAGUGGCCAAUCUUCUUUUGUAGAAGUUUUCAUGUGUAGGAGGUCCCUCUGUCAAUAAAAUCACAGAUCUAGUCCCUGGCUAUGAUUAAAAUAUAAUUUAAUCUCUCUUUGGUAAUCAUAAAUAAUUCAGUGUUGUAGCUUCAUUACUAUUCUAGUUUAUUAAAUUUUGGUUUUAGCACUGACAAAUCAAUUUAUUUGACUAUAUGUAAACAGCUGACUCAUGGAAAAUAAUCUUUUCUCUCUAUUAAAAUGUAGUCAAUUUCAUUUUUGUGGUAUUAUUUUAUACUGCCCAUGUCCAGUGCCUACUAAUAUUUUUGAAGAAAGUGUUCAUGAUACAUAGAUAUGAGACUUCUGUACAAAUUAUGUCAUCAGACUCUUGGUUUUUUCUCUCAAAUAAUACUUUCCUAUGUAUUUCUCCCCAUCUUCAUCUUUUCUCACUUUACAAUGAAGAUACCAAGUUAUCAGAGUAUAUGUAGAUUUGAUUUAGUGGGUCUUAUCAAGUCCUUAAUAGAAUUUUUCUAUUGCUUUGUCUUCAGUUAAUGAUGACAGUAUGUAAAUGGUAUUUUUAUUGUCAUUGUCAUCUUUUUUACGAAUACUUUUCAUUAAUGUAGCAAUACAGGUUAAUAAACUGACCCAUGAAAUACUUUUUAAAAUAACUUUUGAACACAUAUAACUCAUUCUGCCAACUCUUUUGUUUCUUAUGUAACACCUGUAAACCAUCCUUCCAUUUAGCUGAAAUUUUUUUCUGCUUGUUUCCUCCAGUUCCUCUAGUAGUAUAUCAACUUAGUAAUCAAUGUACAAUGAUUUCACAUGUAGAGUACCAACAGUCAAAUUAAAGUUUAUUAGUGAUUUUAAAA